rnacentral:lncRNA from 10 species
GUGGAGACCCAGCGUGAAGGAGGCUGUGUCUGUAAGGCAGGGAAAAAAGCCUUCACCAGGAACCAGUGCUGGCACCCUGAUGUCAGACUUCAAGCCUCCAAAGCUGUGAGGGUACUGGUAGCCGCAUAAAACAAGUUGGGGCAUAUUCCAACAAAAUAGAACAUUUUGUGAAAGAGUGUAUAUGAAAAAGUUACUUCUUCCUUGAAUGUGUAAUAGAAUUCACCAGUGGAACCACCAGGGAUUGACAAUUUCUUUAUGGGUAGCCCUACAAUUUCAACCACAUCCUUGCCAAAGCUUUGGUGACUAGAGUGCUCUGGGAUCCUGAGAAGAAGAAAAGAAAAUGAGACCAAUAUUGAGACAGGACAAAUUAAAUUAU